CCUGGCUCAGGAUGAACGCUGGCGGCGUGCCUAAUACAUGCAAGUCGAGCGAGAAUCAGUGGAACGGAGAUUUCGUCGAAGUGAAACUGAGGAAAGCGGCGGACGGGUGAGUAACGCGUAGGCAACCUGCCCUCAGCAGAGGGAUAGCCAUUGGAAACGAUGAUUAAAACCUCAUAAUGCAUCGAAGACACAUGUCUAUGAUGCCGAAAGAUUUAUCGGCUGGGGAUGGGCCUGCGUCUGAUUAACUAGUUGGUGGGGUAACGGCGUCACCAGGUAACGAUCCAGUAGCCGACCUGAGAGGGUGAUCGGCCACAUUGGAACUGAGACACGGUCCAAACUUCUACGGAAGGCAGCAGUAAGGAAUCUUGCACAAUGGGGGAAACCCUGAUGCAGCAACGCCGCGUGAACGAUGAAGGCCUUAGGGUUGUAAAGUUCUGAUCUGGGGAAGUAAGAAAGUGACGGUACCCCAGGAGAAAGCCCGGCUAAAUACGUGCC
rnacentral:rRNA from 1 species